rnacentral:rRNA from 1 species
GAUGAACGCUGGCGGCGUGCCUAAUACAUGCAAGUCGAGCGGACGGACGAGAAGCUUGCUUCUCUGAUGUUAGCGGCGGACGGGUGAGUAACACGUGGAUAACCUACCUAUAAGACUGGGAUAACUUCGGGAAACCGGAGCUAAUACCGGAUAAUAUUUUGAACCGCAUGGUUCAAAAGUGAAAGACGGUCUUGCUGUCACUUAUAGAUGGAUCCGCGCUGCAUUAGCUAGUUGGUAAGGUAACGGCUUACCAAGGCAACGAUGCAUAGCCGACCUGAGAGGGUGAUCGGCCACACUGGAACUGAGACACGGUCCAGACCCCUACGGGAGGCAGCAGUAGGGAAUCUUCCGCAAUGGGCGAAAGCCUGACGGAGCAACGCCGCGUGAGUGAUGAAGGUCUUCGGAUCGUAAAACUCUGUUAUUAGGGAAGAACAUAUGUGUAAGUAACUGUGCACAUCUUGACGGUACCUAAUCAGAAAGCCACGGCUAACUACGUG